rnacentral:rRNA from 1 species
UACGAAGGGUGCAAGCGUUACUCGGAAUUACUGGGCGUAAAGCGUGCGUAGGUGGUUUGUUAAGUCUGUUGUGAAAGCCCCGGGCUCAACCUGGGAAUGGCAAUGGAUACUGGCAAGCUAGAGUGCGGUAGAGGGUAGUGGAAUUCCCGGUGUAGCGGUGAAAUGCGUAGAGAUCGGGAGGAACACCAGUGGCGAAGGCGGAUACCUGGACCAGCACUGACACUGAGGCACGAAAGCGUGGGGAGCAAACAGG